UCCGGGUUGAUCCUGCCGGACCCGACUGCUAUCGGAUUGAGAUUUAGCCAUGCGAGUCGAACGUCCCCCUGUUGCGGGGGGCGUGGCGUACGGCUCAGUAACACGUAGUCAACCUGCCCUGGAGACAAGGACAACCCCGGGAAACUGGGAUUAAUCCUUGAUAGGUCAUCUCAUCUGGAAGGAGAGAUGGCUUAAAGGGGUACGCGGGCUUCUUCCGCGAAUUCGCUCCAGGAUGGGACUGCGUCCGAUCAGGCUGUUGGCGGGGUAAUGGCCCACCAAACCUGUAACCGGUACGGGCCUUGAGAGAGGUGGCCCGGAGAUGGACACUGAGAGAAGGGUCCAGGUCCUACGGGGCGCAGCAGGCGCGAAACCUUCGCAAUGCGCGAAAGCGUGACGAGGUUAAUCCGAGUGACUCCCGCUGAGGGGGUCUUUUGUCAGCUGUAAAUAGGCAGGCGAAUAAGGGGAGGGCAAGCCUGGUGUCAGCCGCCGCGGUAAUACCAGCUCCUCGAGUGGUCGGGGCGAUUAUUGGGCCUAAAGCAUCCGUAGCCGGUUCCGUAGGUCCUCUGUUAAAUCCAACCGCUCAACGGUUGACCUGCAGAGGAUACCGCGGGACUAGGAGGCGGGAGAGGCGGACGGUACUCCGCGUGUAGGGGUAAAAUCCUUUGAUCCGCGGAAGACCACCAGUGGCGAAGGCGGUCCGCCAGAACGCGCUCGACGGUGAGGGAUGAAAGCUGGGGGAGCGAACCGGAUUAGAUACCCGGGUAGUCCCAGCCGUAAACGAUGCUAGCUAGAUGAUUCAUUCGCAAGUCGCGAAUGAAGUGUCGCAGGGAAGCCGUUAAGCUAGCCGCCUGGGGAGUACGGUCGCAAGACUGAAACUUAAAGGAAUUUGGCGGGGGAACAC
rnacentral:rRNA from 1 species